rnacentral:rRNA from 1 species
GAUGACUCCCGGCAACGGAUAUCUCGGCUCUCGCAUCGAUGAAGAACGCAGCGAAAUGCGAUACAUGGUGUGAAUUGCAGAAUCCCGUGAACCAUCGAGUCUUUGAACGCAAGUUGCGCCCGAGGGACCAUCCCGAGGGCACGUCUGCCUCAUGGGCGUGAGAA